GCCUGUCUAUGAUUUAUGCUAGUGUGCACGCGGUCCUGAUGCAACCCAUUAGGUGGCAUGUUCUAAUACGGUUUCAUCCCAAGUCAUAUAAUACAAUCAUAACUUUAAUAAUGUGAAAAAUGACAUAAAUCACAAGCAAUCUUAAUAUUAUUCAAUAAUUCAUUAAGUAUUAGAAUUAAAUAGCAUCGGGUAUAGUGCACAUAAAGAUUAAAUGCAGUACUAUCAAUAACAUAACAAUGAUAAAUAUGAUGGUAAAAAUAAAAUAAAUAAAUAAAUAAAAUAUCUAUAAUAACAUAAAUAAAAUUAAUAAUAAUAGUAAUGCCAAUAAUAAUCAUAAUGAUUAUUAAUAAAAAUAUUGCACUUAAAUUCGACAUAACACAUGUGCAGUGAUUAUAUGACUUUAACUCAUAAAUAUGACGUCUUUCUAUACGCUGCUCACGCGUCCAAUGUAACUAGCUGAUGGGACGGAGAAUCUAAAAUCCACAAAUAAUAAUUAAUAUUUAUAUCCAUACUAUAUAAAAUAAUCAACCUAAUUCUAGACUUCUAAGAAAUUACAAAUUGGUCCUAUGGAAAUUUCGCUUACCAGCAAACUAAUGAUAGCAAAAUUUUAUUCGCAAUUAUGACUCAGGACCUCCAACAUAAUACCAUAAUCAUCAAUUAAUAUCUUAAAUUAUUAUUCUCAAAUUAGUAUCAUCAAUUUUUCAAUUUUGUAUGAAAUAAUAAUAAUAAUAAUUAAACUAAUACUUUCAAAAUUAAUAAACCGGCUAACUGAAUUUUCUAACCAUAAUAAUUAAAUUAAUAAAUCAAAUUUUCAUAAUUAAUCCUUAAUCAACCUCAAUUUAAUUUUUAUUUAUCAAUUUAUCACUAAUUAUCCACAAUUAAUCUCAAAUACAUAACGAUUUCUAAUUACUUAGUAACUAUAAAUAAGUUCGAAUUAAAAAUUUACUAUAACGAUUUCUAAUUACUAAGUAACUGCCCGAAAUAUAAAUAUAAAUACUUAACUAAAUAAGUUCGGGUUAAAAAUUUACUAUACCGAGCUGAAAAAUUAAUACAGAAUAAUGACAAGAACAUCCGAAAAUAAUCAAAAUUUCGGCCGUCGGCAAGCGUCCCGAGGUCGCCGGACCCGGUCGCCAGAAAAUUUUCAACGGUGAUGAAAGUUCGAUCCGAGCACAUCAAAGGAAAGCCCAAAUCUCAGAAUUCCAGAUGUACAAUUAUUUUUACCGAAAAGUGGCCGAAAAAUCCUAUAUCGCCGUUUAAAGUUUUAACACCAGCGAGCUUGAUCAACGGUGAAACGGAGGAGAUCGGGGCUGAGCUUCACUGUCCUAAGGUUUUUCGACAUGAGGAGCUCAUUUUUGGAGUUUGAUCGGCCAAAAGAGGUCGGUAAGAUGUCAAACUAGCAAUGGCAGCGGUGAGAGAUGUUUUCUCUCUCUUCGAAGCACGCUAAACAACAACUCUUGAUAUUGCUCGGCGUCGGCAAGGGGUGAAGCGAGGCAAUGAGGGCCUGAAAUGAGUGUUAUAUGCUAAAGGGGCUGAUUACAGGCGAAGGUGUGAAGAAUUAGGCGGUGGCCAUGGUGUAUGACAAGAGAGAGGGAAUAAGGUAGGAGGAGGGGCCAAGUUGCAAUUUUUCUUUUUCUUUUUUUCCAAAUUUCAGUUUUUG
rnacentral:lncRNA from 1 species